rnacentral:sRNA from 1 species
GUGUCGAAAGUCAAAAAUGCGUACAUGCUUGCAUGUUAAGCAUUUUGACUUUAUGACCCGAACAAAUAUGAGGAAUAAGCAAUUUACGUAGUAAAUUAGCGGUUUCCGAAUAUUUGUAGAAUUGCGGGAAUGACGUAGUCAUGGAGCAAUUCGU